AACCUGGGAGCCUGUGUAUUAGAUUUACAAAAGCUGUGUUUGCUGGUGUUUUGUUCCUAGAGGCAACUAACUAAUAGUUGGUACUUGAUACAUGGUCCUUUUGAUAUUGACUUUUCACUUAUGUGCUUAUACGUAUUUAUCUAUCUUAUACAGUGAGCAUUAAAAUAUAAAGCAAUGCUAGGAAUACAUUCUCUAACACAUCCUUUUGAACCCUCUCAAUGAUUGAAAUAUGUUGGAAAUUACAAAAUUUGGUGGAUCCCACAACUUAUUGAGUAACCCUCCUGAUUUUAUAAUUUCCAAUAAAUUUUAGCCUAUAAGAGUGUGAUAGGACUCCUACUAAGGAUGGGCCUGUUAAUCAACAUGAAACAAUUAUAGAGGGAGCAAGGCCCAAAAUAUGGAAUGUUUACGUGAGAAGAAAGAAAAUGGGGUUAGGAAAAGAAAGGGAAGUUAGUUAGAGAGGGGAAUGACGUGUCAGGAAUGGAGGGGAAGGGCAAUUCUGUUAUAGGAGAGAGAAUAGAGAGUGUGAAGGGGAUACGGAGUGGAGAGGUUUUGAGUUGGUUAGGAGGAGAAUAAUCCUUUGGAGGAGUCUAGGACUCUGGCUUUUUUCCUUGUGGCUGUAGAGCUUUCCGCUCAAGCAUCUUUUUACUGCAUAAUACUCUAAAUAAUACAACUUUGAUAUUCAGUAAUUGUUUGGUUUCUAUCAUUGGUCCGACCUGCCGGAUACCCGAGAAGAGCUAGCAUUGUUGUCCAUGCCACCCAAAAUGUCUGACCGAGUCGACGCAUUGGAGGAAAGAUUAUUAGCAAUGGAAGUGUCUGUACGUGAGACGUUGGGGGAAUUUCGCCAACUAAUGUUGGAAGAGCUGACUAAGCUGCGUAACGAGCAAGCUGGAGAGCGUCGAGAAUCUCCGUUUUCAGAUAUGGAUUCAGGGGCAGAGUACAGGAUGGCAGCAAAGAAGGUGGAAUUGCCAUCAUUUGAUGGUACUGACCCUGUGGGAUGGAUUACCAGGGCAGAGACAUAUUUUGAAGUGCACGGCUCUACAGAAGAGGUGAAGGUCCGAUUGGCAAAACUAAGCAUGGAAGGGGCAACCAUUCAUUGGUUUAAUCUUCUACAAGAAGCAGAAGUGGGGUUGUCGUGGACCAAGUUAAAAAGAGAGUUGAUCGGUCGUUAUGGUGGUCGUACUAGCGGUAAUCCUUUCGAGGAAUUGAAAGAUUUGUCGCAGACGGGCAGCGUAGAUGAGUAUUUGGCGGAGUUCGAAUAUAUCUCCUCUCAAGUUUCUCGUUUACCAGAGGAGCAAUAUCUGGGUUACUUUUUUGGAGGGUUGCGACCGGAGAUUCGGCGGAGGGUUCGCACCUUCAACCCGAUGAAUCGUCUCCAAGCCAUGCGCCUAGCUCGAGACGUGGAAGCAGAAGUGCAGGGAGAGGGAUUUCAGCGUGGAGGAGGAUUACGAGGGUGGAAAAGCAAUCGUGAUUGGGGUACGGGUCAAGGAGAGAAGUCUGGAUCCGGGUCGGGUCAAGGCCCACAUUUAGGGAAAUUAGGCGUUGGGUUAGGCCCAACCCAGAGCAUAUCAAAUAAACCAUUAUCGGCAGCGGGCUCCAGCCUUCAUGAGUCACGCUCGACUACGCAAGGCAGUCGCGUUUCAGGUGAUCGUUUUCCGACCGCCGACCGAAAUCGCGGUACGAAACAUUUGCCGUACUCUGAAUUGAUGAACAGGAAAGCUCAAGGGCUUUGUUUUCGAUGCGGUGAAAAGUAUCACCCCUUGCAUCGAUGCACAGAGCGGCAACUCCGAAUGGUGGUGUUAGCGGAUGACGAAACAGUAAAUGAAGCAGGGGAGGUGAUCGCGAGCGAGACGCAAGAAGAGGAAGAUGACCAUAACUUGGAGUGUGGGUCUAUGGGGCUGUUCGCAGAAGUUGAAGUACCAUGGGGUGGUCGGAAUAACCCUACAACUUUGCGCAUAGAGGGUCUUCUCAAUGGGGUAACCCUGGGAGUGCUGAUUGAUAGUGGGGCCAGUCACAAUUUCAUUUCUCCCCUUGUAGUGGCUGCUCUUGAGUUGAAAGUGGACAAAAGAAAACAGAUUGGUGUACGUUUGGGAGAUGGACAUAGGGUGUCUACGGCGGGAAAAUGUGAGAAGUUGGACAUCCAAUUAGGAGAAUUCUCUACUACGGUAGAGCCAUAUGUGUUGGAAUUGGGGGACGUGGACAUGAUUUUGGGAGUUUCUUGGUUGCGAAGGUUUGGAAAGGUUACUUUUGAUUGGGAAGAGAUGACGCUAAGUUUUUUUUGGCAGGACAAAUAUCUAGAGUUACAAGGUCAGAAACUAAGAAAACACAGACAACAUAUAGCGUUGAUGACAUCUUUCCAGAGUGUGGUGAAGGAGAAUAGUUUGGGAGAAAAGUCCAUUUCGAAGCAAAGCUUAUCAAAGACACAAGUUGAAGAUAUUCAACAAAUUUUAGUGGGUUAUGCGACUGUAUUCCAAGAGCCACAGGGGCUGCCACCUUAUAGAAAUGUGGUGCAUGUUAUUACAUUGCAGCCAGAAGCAAAAGCCGUGAGUGUGCGACCAUAUCGGUAUCCACAUCAUCAUAAAGAGGAGAUUGAAAAACAGGUUGGAGAGAUGUUGAAACAAGGAAUUAUCAGACCCAGUUCUAGCGCUUUUUCUAGCCCGGUAAUUCUUGUUAAGAAGAAAGACGGUUCAUGGCGCAUGUGCGUGGAUUAUAGGGAGCUGAAUAAAGUCACAAUUCCCGACAAAUACCCAAUUCCAGUGGUAGAGGAGUUAUUGGAUGAGUUAUAUGGUGCUACUUAUUUUUCUAAACUAGACUUGAAAUCUGGGUAUCAUCAAAUACGCAUGGCGGAGGAAGAUGUUCAUAAAACAGCUUUCAGGACACAUGAGGGUCACUAUGAAUUUUUAGUGAUGCCCUUUGGUUUGACUAAUGCCCCUGCGACUUUCCAGUCUACUAUGAAUAAGAUUUUUAAGCCCUAUCUGAGGAAGUUUGUACUAGUAUUCUUUGACGAUAUACUAGUUUACAGUAAAGGAUGGGAUGAACAUUUGAAGCAUUUAAUGAGAGUCUUUGAGCUGCUGUGUGAACAAUCUUUCAUGGUCAAUAGAAAAAAGUGUGUUUUGGGGAGUCGGCAAGUAGAAUACUUGGGUCAUCUAAUUUCUGAGCAAGGAGUUGCAGUAGACCCAGAAAAAAUUAAAAGUGUGAUAAAUUGGCCCAUACCUCAUAAUGUCAAAGGUGUGAGGGGUUUUUUGGGAUUAACGGGGUAUUAUCGAAAAUUUAUUGCGGGUUAUGGUAAGAUUGCUCGGCCCCUUACUGAAUUGACGAAGAAGGAUGGUUUCCAUUGGGGUCCAAAUGCAUUAUUGGCCUUUGAGGAAUUAAAAAAGGUGAUGACUCAAGCUCCCCUAUUGGCUUUACCUAACUUUUCUAAACCGUUUGAAAUUGAGUGUGACGCUUCAGGGACAGGGAUAGGAGCAGUAUUGAUGCAAGACCGACAACCGAUAGCUUAUUUUAGUAAAGCUUUGGCACCGAUUAAUGUUAACAAGUCAGCCUAUGAGAAAGAAUUAAUGGCAUUAGUGUUGGCGGUCCAACAUUGGAGACCAUACUUGAUUGGAAGGAGUUUUAAGGUGUACUCAGAUCAGAAGAGUUUAAGACACCUCUUACAUCAAAAGAUCACCACCGAAGCUCAACAAAAUUGGCUGGCAAAGUUGUUAGGAUAUCAGUUUGAGGUGAUUUACAAACCGGGCCCAGAGAAUAAAGCUGCUGACUCACUAUCAAGAAUGUUCGAAGCGGGUGAAUUGAGGGAGAUUCAGUCUUUUCCAUUAUGGUUGCAGGAACAGCAUAUCCAAGAGGAAGUGGAAGUAGAUCCUUUCUUACAGCAAGUGGUGCAGAAGUUACAACAGGAAGAUGCAUCUGUUGCAGAUUUCAGUUUGCAAAGAGGAGUAUUAUUUUACAAAGGACGCUUGGUAUUGUCAGCUAAGUCAGAUUUAAUUCCUACUAUCUUAAAUGAGUUUCAUUCUUCACCAGUAGGGGGUCACUCGGGUUUUUUAAGAACCUACAAACGUAUCGCAGCAAAUCUGUACUGGACGGGAAUGAAGAAGAUGAUUCAAGAGUUUGUUAAAGCAUGUGAUGUGUGCCAACGACAGAAAUAUGAAGCAACGUCUCCAGCUGGAUUACUACAGCCCCUGCCUAUUCCAGAUAGGAUUUGGGAAGAUAUUUCCCUAGACUUCAUUACGGGCUUACCAAAAUCGAAGGGGUUUCAAGCUAUAUUUGUAGUGGUGGAUCGAUUGUCUAAAUAUGGCCACUUUAUUUUAUUGAAACAUCCUUAUACUGCCAGGAAGAUUGCUGAAUUAUUUGCUAAGGAGAUUGUACGACUUCACGGCUUUCCGCAUUCGAUUGUUAGUGAUCGAGACCCUGUGUUCAUGAGUCUUUUUUGGCAGGAAUUAUUUCGAUUACAGGGAACAACUUUAAAAAUGAGUUCUUCUUAUCAUCCUGAGACCGAUGGUCAAACGGAAGUGGUAAAUCGAUGUUUAGAAGCUUAUUUACGAUGUUUUGUGUCGGAACAGCCCAAGAACUGGUCAUAUUGGGUACCUUGGGCAGAAUUAUGGUAUAAUACUACUUUUCAUGGAGCAACAGGAAAAACCCCUUUUGAAAUUGUGUAUGGGAGAACACCACCUGCUUUAGUGCGUUUUACACAGGGCGAAACACGUGUGGAAGCUGUAGCCGCUGACUUGGUUGAUAGAGAUGAAGCUAUUCGACAAUUGAAAUAUCAUCUGCUGCGAGCCCAGCAGCAAAUGAAGAAAUUUGCAGACAAAAAGCGGAGAUUCAUGCAGUUCGAGGUCGGAGAGUGGGUGUUUAUUAAAUUGCGUCCCCAUAGACAAGUAACCAUAGCUCGACGUAUUAAUCAGAAGCUGGCACCUCGGUAUUAUGGGCCUUUCGUAGUGGCGGAGAAAAAGGGAGAAGUGUCUUAUAAGGUGCAGUUGCCGGAAUCAGCAAAAGUACACCCGGUUUUUCAUGUUUCUCAAUUAAAAAAGGCUAUUGGUAAUCAUGCAGUAGAACCCACUUUACCAACAGAAUUGAGUCUUGAGGAGGAAGAUCAAGAAGAACCUGAGACAGUGUUAGCAACCAGGGAGAUUCCUGAGGGUGAUACUAUUACUAAACAAUUGUUGGUUAAAUGGAAGGGGAGAACAGAGGAGGAGGCAACUUGGGAAGAUGAGGGACGAUUGCGAAGUCAAUUUCCUUAUUUUAGCCUUGAGGACAAGGCUGUUGUUGCAGGAGGGAGUAAUGAUAGGACUCCUACUAAGGAUGGGCCUGUUAAUCAACAUGAAACAAUUAUAGAGGGAGCAAGGCCCAAAAUAUGGAAUGUUUACGUGAGAAGAAAGAAAAUGGGGUUAGGAAAAGAAAGGGAAGUUAGUUAGAGAGGGGAAUGACGUGUCAGGAAUGGAGGGGAAGGGCAAUUCUGUUAUAGGAGAGAGAAUAGAGAGUGUGAAGGGGAUACGGAGUGGAGAGGUUUUGAGUUGGUUAGGAGGAGAAUAAUCCUCUGGAGGAGUCUAGGACUCUGGCUUUUUUCCUUGUGGCUGUAGAGCUUUCCGCUCAAGCAUCUUUUUACUGCAUAAUACUCUAAAUAAUACAACUUUGAUAUUCAGUAAUUGUUUGGUUUCUAUCAGAGUGUUUCAAACACUCCUCUUGAAUAUGGGAUGCGAUUGAGUAUGGGAUUCUAUUGUGUAUGUGGUGUGGUUCCUAUCAACUUGGAAUUUCCAACUACAACAACUAGCUUUUGUUGUGUUGUGGUUCUCUCUAGGUUCAUAUAAUUUUGUAUCGGACCCUUCUAUCACGCCUCUUAGCUUCAAAUAAGUAAUGUCAGCGGUGAUGUCAGCAUUGCAGUGUUUGCCAGCAAUCCCACAAUGGAAGUAUAUUCUAGUGUCGGGAUUAUAAGGAUUUGGACUCUCCCACAAUAACAACUAGAUUUUGUGGUGUGCUUUUCUCAAGGUUCUUUUACAAAUGACAUCGUUGGGUGUGCCUGGAGGCACCAAAGAAAAAAAUUAACAUUAGGAUUUUACUGCCAUUAAUAAGUUUUCUGAUGAAAUUAUGGCAACUUAGGUAGAAACAGGAGGUAUAAGAGAUCAAAGAGACCACCAAUAAAUAAAAUUUCUUAUUUAUAUUGGUGGGAUACAUUGUGGUACAGAUUUAACAUUUAUUUUAUGUUUGCAAAUCAUUAUAUCAAUCAAAUAACGAAACAAUUAAGGAAAUAUAAUGAUAUAUGAAAACCAUUCAUAAUGAUCAUCAAAGAUACUCUAAACGUUAUAAGGUACAAAAAAAUAAAAAAUAAAAAAGUCAUGAUUUAUUUUCUAGAUAUUGUGACACUUCUCUUCAAAUUAAAGCACGCUAAGCUUUAAGCUUGUCAUUUUUAAGACUACACAUUCACUACAAAAUAAAAUAAUAAUGUAACAUGAUGACAGGUGGUAGCAUCUUGGACUAAAGUUGUGGCUGGACUGCAUCUGAGACUAGGAAUGGGGGCAGACGGUCUAGGAUAAAAACCUGGGUGUGGAACAAGCAUAAGAGCAAGACUACAUCUCUUGGACUUGAUAAGGCUGGUGUGAGUGCCCACAUAAGUUACUACUAGUACGAUUCAUGUGGGAAAACAAUCACAAUUGGAGUGAUCAUUGGUUGGAGAAGUCUCCAGUCCACUGGAUCGAACGGCUGGAGUUGUUUGAUGAAUUUGAAGAGUGGUACAUGAUGCAGGAGCACUACUGUGUGGCAUAUGCAAUCAAUGACGGCAUGGU